UACGAAGGGGGCUAGCGUUGCUCGGAAUCACUGGGCGUAAAGGGCGCGUAGGCGGCUUUAUAAGUCGGGGGUGAAAGCCUGUGGCUCAACCACAGAAUUGCCUUCGAUACUGUAGAGCUUGAGACCGGAAGAGGUAAGUGGAACUGCGAGUGUAGAGGUGAAAUUCGUAGAUAUUCGCAAGAACACCAGUGGCGAAGGCGGCUUACUGGUCCGGUUCUGACGCUGAGGCGCGAAAGCGUGGGGAGCAAACAGG
rnacentral:rRNA from 1 species